AACUGUUAAAAGCUACAUAUCUUGUAAGCAGGUGAACUUAUUAAUGAUCUUAUGACACUAUACAAGGCUAUACAACACUAUCCAAUGUUAUAAAAGACUAUACAACACUACUGUAUAUAAGGCUAUACAAGACUAUACGACACUAUACAGCGUUAUACAAGACUAUACGACACUAUACAAGAGUAUACAACACUUACGACACUACACAAUAAUAUACAAGGCUAUACGACACUAUACAACACUAUAUAACGUUAUACAAGACUAUAUAACAACAUAUAAAGGCUAUACGACACAAUAUGACACUAUACAACGUUAUACAAAACUAUACAACAAUAUAUAAGGUUAUACGACAC